CCAUUAAGCCCUCAAUUGUCCUUCUCUAUUCUCAAUCACAAUCAAUGCCUCCAACUCGGCGCAGGACUCACCGCUCGACUAGACGAGACAAGGCGACUCGCCGAGAGUAUUGCCGCCACCAGGCGCCUCCAUCCGGCACCUCUCCGAUCAGUUGGCCAGAACAUUCGCUGGCAGUGUUGUGUACACUGUGAGGACUUCCAAUAAUGAGUUCGUGCUCAUAUCUGAUCCCAAUGGAGCUAAAUCGAUUGGCUUACUUUGCUUUCGACAAGAGAACGCCCAAGGACCAAUACCUUUCUAGCUCAAGUUAGUAUUUAAAUGCACUUGUUCUUUUAGGUGUGAUUAUAUCUUUCAAUUUGAUCGUUUCGUGGAUUUAAGUUGAUAUGCGGCGUUCCUAGGUUCGGCUCAGUAGAAGAGAGCUGACAUUUCAGGCUAAAGUUGUGCCCAUUGCUCUUGAUCAGGUUCAACUUGCCAUGUGGUGUUGGAGGGGGUUGUGACUUGUGAUGGAACAGGCAGCUAGCUACAUUGCAGGAAGUAGAGUCAUAACAUCGACUCAUGCUGUUUCUAAUCAUGGAACAUUAAAUGGUUAUCCAUUUUUAUAUGCAUAUCAAUAUGGCUAACAAGACUUAUACUGUUUAUCAGCUGAAAGCUGCUAACUUCACUGCUCGCUGCUUGCCAUCUGUGGACUUCCAUGCCACCCUAUCCCCACACUUCAGGUUUCCUACUUCUCCUUGUUUGACUCUCUCACAAGAUCUUAUGGUGGAAAAUUUUAUUCUUGCAGUUAUGAUCAGUGAGAGCUUUAUCAUCCAGAGAAGGGAUGCCUUGUAAUUUAAGAUUAAAAUGAUAAAUAAUCAGUGUAUAAUCUCUCUUUAAUCUUCCAAGAAAUAUAUAUUUGAAUAUUUAAAAUGAAAAUGUAGAAGAAAAAGUGACCUUCCAUUC